rnacentral:rRNA from 1 species
AGAGUUUGAUUAUGGCUCAGGAUGAACGCUGGCGGCGUGCCUAACACAUGCAAGUCGAGCGAUUCUCUUCGGAGAAGAGCGGCGGACGGGUGAGUAACGCGUGGGUAACCUGCCUCAUACACAUGGAUAACAUACCGAAAGGUAUGCUAAUACAGGAUAAUAUAAGAGAUUCACAUGGAUUUCUUAUCAAAGCUCCGGCGGUAUGAGAUGGACCCGCGUCUGAUUAGCUAGUUGGUAAGGUAACGGCUUACCAAGGCGACGAUCAGUAGCCGACCUGAGAGGGUGAUCGGCCACAUUGGAACUGAGACACGGUCCAAACUCCUACGGGAGGCAGCAGUGGGGAAUAUUGCACAAUGGGCGAAAGCCUGAUGCAAGCAACGCCGCGUGAGUGAUGAAGGCCUUCGGGUCGUAAAACUCUGUCCUCAAGGAAGAUAAUGACGGUACUUGAGGAGGAAGCCCCGGCUAACUACGUGCCAGCAGCUGC